rnacentral:lncRNA from 1 species
GGUGGGGGUGGGGGUGGGGGUGGGGGCAGCCUGGCUGGCCAGAGCGCAUUCUUCCUGACCGCCUCCUCUCAGAGGAUUCCUGCCUGAGUCUGGUGCCCACCGCACAGCUCCUGGUCUUAACCCACUCAACUAAGCCACCCUUUCUUACCUCACUACCUCACCUGAGUCAGGAAGCAAAAGGCUUGGCCGGGAGGCCCCGAGUCCCAGCCAUGAGGCGGAGCCGGACCGCGGCAUCCUUCCUGCCUAACGAGCGAGUCCGAGAGGCGGCAGAAUUGAGCCCUGCGGCUGUCGGCCCCCCCAGGCAGCAGCGCAGUCCGCAGGCGCUUCUCUGGGACCCCGCAGCUGCCGCCGCUCACGUGGCGCCACGGCCCAGUGGGAGAGCCCGCCCGGGCCCUAGAGCCUGAAGCCAGUGCCCGGGUCGUGUUCAGCAUUGAGGAGCGAGUGUCCGAGCGUGGCUAUCCCCCGACUGGCAGCAGGUAAGGG